GAUGAACGCUGGCUACAGGCUUAACACAUGCAAGUCGAGGGGAAACGACGGGGAAGCUUGCUUCCCCGGGCGUCGACCGGCGCACGGGUGAGUAACGCGUAUCCAACCUGCCUCUGACUGAGGGAUAACCCGUCGAAAGUCGGCCUAAUACCUCAUGGCAUCGUCUGCGGGCAUCCAACGACGAUUAAAGAUUUCAUCGGUCAGGGAUGGGGAUGCGUCUGAUUAGCUAGUUGGCGGGGUAACGGCCCACCAAGGCGACGAUCAGUAGGGGUUCUGAGAGGAAGGUACCCCACAUUGGAACUGAGACACGGACCAAACUCCUACGGGAGGCAGCAGUGAGGAAUAUUGGUCAAUGGGCGAGAGCCUGAACCAGCCAAGUAGCGUGCAGGAGGACGGCCCUAGGGGUUGUAAACUGCUUUUAUGCGGGGAUAAAGUGAGGGACGUGUCCUUCAUUGCAGGUACCGCAUGAAUAAGGACCGGCUAAUUCCGUG
rnacentral:rRNA from 1 species